rnacentral:rRNA from 1 species
AACUCGCCUGCAUGAAGUCGGAAUUGCUAGUAAUCGCAGAUCAGCAUGCUGCGGUGAAUACGUUCCCGGGCCUUGUACACACCGCCCGUCACACCAUGGGAGUCGGUAACACCCGAAGUCGGUAGCCUAACCGUAAGGAGGGCGCCGCCGAAGGUGGGAUUGAUGACUGGGGUGAAGUCGUAACAAGGUAGC